rnacentral:ncRNA from 1 species
UGUUAAUAGCAAACCCACAGUAAUGUGGCGACGCAAAGCUAUAGGGUCUUAAUUGAAGACAGCCAGUUGCCGA